UUUACACAUGCUGGCCAGAGCAAGAGCAUUCAUGUUGCAGCUCCUGGCAGAUCCCUCAAAUCUGUAAAUUUUGCU
rnacentral:ribozyme from 1 species